rnacentral:rRNA from 1 species
UACGUAGGGGGCAAGCGUUGUCCGGAUUUAUUGGGCGUAAAGAGCGUGUAGGCGGCCAGGUAGGUCUGGUGUGAAAACUCGAGGCUAACCUCGAGAUGCACGGUAACAACUCAGGCUAGAGUCCGGAAGAGGAGAGUGGAAUUCCCGUGGUGUAGCGGUGAAAUGCGCAGAUAUCGAGGAAGAACCGAGCCAUAGGCGAAGCGCACGUCUGGGACGGUACUGGACG